GAUGAACGCUGGCGGCGUGCCUAAUACAUGCAAGUCGAGCGAACGGACGAGAAGCUUGCUCCUCUGACGUUAGCGGCGGACGGGUGAGUAACACGUGGAUAACCUACCUAUAAGACUAGGAUAACUUCGGGAAACCGGAGCUAAUACCGGAUAAUAUAUUGAACCGCAUGGUUCAAUAGUGAAAGACGGUUUUGCUGUCACUUAUAGAUGGAUCCGCGCCGCAUUAGCUAGUUGGUAAGGUAACGGCUUACCAAGGCAACGAUGCGUAGCCGACCUGAGAGGGUGAUCGGCCACACUGGAACUGAGACACGGUCCAGACUCCUACGGGAGGCAGCAGUAGGGAAUCUUCCGCAAUGGGCGAAAGCCUGACGGAGCAACGCCGCGUGAGUGAUGAAGGUCUUCGGAUCGUAAAACUCUGUUAUUAGGGAAGAACAAAUGUGUAAGUAACUAUGCACGUCUUGACGGUACCUAAUCAGAAAGCCACGGCUAACUACGUG
rnacentral:rRNA from 1 species